rnacentral:rRNA from 1 species
CUACGGGGCGCACCAGUGGGGAAUAUUGCACAAUGGGCGCAAGCCUGAUGCAGCCAUGCCGCGUGUAUGAAGAAGGCCUUCGGGUUGUAAAGUACUUUCAGCGGGGUGGAAGGGAGUAAAGUUAAUACCUUUGCUCAUUGACGUUACCCGCAGAAGAAGCACCGGCUAACUCCGUGCCAGCAGCCGCGGUAAUACGGAGGGUGCAAGCGUUAAUCGGAAUUACUGGGCGUAAAGCGCACGCAGGCGGUUUGUUAAGUCAGAUGUGAAAUCCCCGGGCUCAACCGGGGAACUGCAUCUGAUACUGGCAAGCUCGAGUCUCGUAGAGGGGGGUAGAAUUCCAGGUGUAGCGGUGAAAUGCGUAGAGAUCUGGAGGAAUACCGGUGGCGAAGGCGGCCCCCUGGACGAAGACUGACGCUCAGGUGCGAAAGCGUGGGGAGCAAACAGGAUUAGAUACCCCGGUAGUC